GAUAUAUUCCCUCCGUCCAAAAAUACUUAUCGUAGGAAUGAAUGUAUUUAGAUGUAUUUUAAUUCUAGAUACAUCUAUUUAUAUUCAUUUUUAUGACAAGUGAUUCGAGACGGAGUGAGUAUAUA
rfam:Hordeum vulgare subsp. vulgare, WGS project CAJW01000000 data, contig: morex_contig_6199